rnacentral:lncRNA from 1 species
AUAAAUUUUUGUACCAAUCGAAGUGAUCAUCUAGCAAUGGUACCUGACGAUCGGAUAGGUCGAAUGUGUAGAACAACAUCCUUAGAACCCAUGCAGAUAUAGUUUUCAUAUAAUUCAUCCCCUUGACCAAAAUGAUCAUAGGACACCCCAGAGUUCAAUUGUCAACUCUGAUCAGGUUGUCCACAUUGUAUUUCAAAAUAUCAAAUUCAUCUGAUGGAUUACCCUGGCCAAGGUUUUGCUAAAUUGAAAUACAGCGACUCAUUCUUCUCCAACUCUUGGAGUGGUCAAUCCCAUCUCGAUCACACUCUGACUUCGUAAGUACUUGACUGUGCCCAGAAGCCUUCCAUCCCUGAAUUAGAAAUUC